rnacentral:rRNA from 1 species
UACGUAGGGUGCAAGCGUUUGUCCGGAAUUAUUGGGGCGUAAAGAGCUCGUAGGCGGUCUGUCACGUCGGCUGUGAAAACCCGAGGCUCAACCUCGGGCCUGCAGUCGAUACGGGCAAACUAGAGUACUGCAGGGGAGACUGGAAUUCCUGGUGUAGCGGUGAAAUGCGCAGAUAUCAGGAGGAACACCGGUGGCGAAGGCGGGUCUCUGGGCAGUAACUGACGCUGGAGGAGCGAAAGCGUGGGGAGCGAACAGG